rnacentral:rRNA from 1 species
UAUCGACGGCGGUGUUUGGCACCUCGAUGUCGGCUCAUCUCAUCCUGGGGCUGAAGCAGGUCCCAAGGGCAUGGCUGUUCGCCAUUUAAAGAGGUACGCGAGCUGGGUUUAGAACGUCGUGAGACAGUUCGGUCCCUAUCUACCGUGGGCGCUGGAAAUUUGAGAGGAUCUGCUCCUAGUACGAGAGGACCAGAGUGGACGAACCUCUGGUGUACCGGUUGUGACGCCAGUCGCAUCGCCGGGUAGCUAUGUUCGGAAGGGAUAACCGCUGAAAGCAUCUAAGCGGGAAGCCUACCUCAAGAUAAGAUUUCCCUAGGACUUUAUGUCCUCUAAAGAGCCGUUCGAGACUAGGACGUUGAUAGGUUGGAUGUGGAAGCAUAGUGAUAUGUGAAGCUGACCAAUACUAAUUGCUCGUGAGGCUUGACUAUACAACACCCAAGCAGUUG